CCUACGGGAGGCUGCAGUGAGGGAUAUUGGUCAAUGGGCGGGAGCCUGAACCAGCCAAGUCGCGUGAGGGAAGACGGUCCUAUGGAUUGUAAACCUCUUUAGGCGGGGAGCAAUGCCGGGCACGCGUGUCCGGAGGGAGAGUACCCGCAGAAUAAGCAUCGGCUAACUCCGUGCCAGCAGCCGCGGUAAUACGGAGGAUGCGAGCGGUAAUCGGAAUUACUGGGCGUAAAGCGCUCGUAGGCGGUAUGUCAAGUCAAGGGUGAAAUCCCCGCGCUCAACGUGGGAACUGCCUUUGAAACUGGCAAACUGGAGUGUGUGAGAGGAUAGUGGAAUUCCAGGUGUAGGAGUGAAAUCCGUAGAUAUCUGGAGGAACACCAGUGGCGAAGGCGACUAUCUGGCACAUAACUGACGCUGAGGAGCGAAAGCGUGGGUAGCAAACAGGAUUAGAUACCCGUGUAGUC
rnacentral:rRNA from 1 species